CCUACGGGUGGCUGCAGUGAGGAAUAUUGGGCAAUGCCCGCAAGGGUGACCCAGCAACGCCGCGUGGAGGAUGAAGGCCGUAAGGUUGUAAACUCCUGUUAGAGGAGAAGAAUAGUACCGAUUGGAUCGGUAUUUGACUGUACCCUCAGAGAAAGCCCCGGCUACCUACGUGCCAGCAGCCGCGGUAAUACGUAGGGGGCAAGCGUUGUCCGGUGUUACUGGGUGUAACGGGCGCGAGCACGGCAGAGGUGAAAUCCUACAGCUUAACUGUAGAACUGCCUUUGAUACUGGUAUUCUUGAGUUCGGGAGAGAGAGACGGAAUUCCAGGUGUAGUGGUGAAAUACGUAGAUAUCUGGAAGAACACCAGUUGCGAAGGCGGUCUCUUGGUCCGAUACUGACGCUGAGGCGCGAAAGCGUGGGGAGCAAACAGGAUUAGAUACCCCGGUAGUC
rnacentral:rRNA from 1 species